rnacentral:rRNA from 1 species
UACGUAGGAGGCAAGCGUUAUCCGGAUUCAUUGGGCGUAAAGUGUGCGUAGGCGUUCCGUAAAGUCGAUACUUAAAGACCAAGGCUUAACCUUGGGACUGGUGUCGAUACUCACGGAAUUGAGGAUUGAUCGGGGAGCUGGAACAGUUAGUGUAGCAGUGAAAUGCGUUGAUAUUAACUGGAACACCAAGGGCGAAGGCAGGCUCCUGGGUUUUUCCUGACGCUGAGGCACGAAAGCUAGGGUAGCGAAACAG